rnacentral:rRNA from 1 species
CGUAGGGUGCGAGCGUUAAUCGGAAUUACUGGGCGUAAAGCGUGCGCAGGCGGUUUUGUAAGACAGGUGUGAAAUCCCCGGGCUUAACCUGGGAAUGUCAUCUGUGACUGCAAAGCUAGAGUACGGUAGAGGGGGAUGGAAUUCCGCGUGUAGCAGUGAAAUGCGUAGAUAUGCGGAGGAACACCGAUGGCGAAGGCAAUCCCCUGGACCUGUACUGACGCUCAUGCACGAAAGCGUGGGGAGCAAACAGGAUUAGAUACCCUGGUAGUCCACGCCCUAAACGAUGUCAACUGGUUGUUGGGUCUCUUCUGACUCAGUAACGAAGCUAACGCGAGAAGUUGACCGCCUGGGGAGUACGGCCGCAAGGUUG